CUUCUUCAUUUUAAUAGGAAUCAAAUGAAGGAUGCUGACUCAUUAAGAGGCUGAAUGGAGAGGUGUGAAUUCCUAGCUGAUGGCUAUGUAUAGCUAUGGGUUAGUAUUUCAAAAAGAAUGCAAUUAUGGCUGGAAGAUCAGGCACCACCCCCCCGCCACACAUACAAACCUCAACCCCCAUCCCCAGAAAACCUUGGUGCAUACAUCAAGCACUCCCAGCUCCUCUCUGAAGUGCCUAGAUAAUAGUACCUGUGCAUAUUUCCUGAGUUUUUCAGCUGCUAAAACCACCACCAAAUGGAAGAAAUUGACUACUUCAAACAUGAACCUCCAACCUCCUGGCACCUAAGGACUGACGGCCAUCAAGCAGUCAGAGAGCUGUGCAUGAGUUGACCCCAUACCCUUGGACAUUCCUCCUUGCCUUACCUAUAAAAAUGCUUUGCAGAAACCCUUCACGGAUUUGGGGGUUUUAAAGAAUGAGCCACCCUUCCUCCUUGUAUCAGCAUCUUUACAAUAAAUGCUGUAUAUUUUCC
rnacentral:lncRNA from 1 species